UGGUUGAUCCUGCCAGAGGUUACUGCUAUCGGUGUUCGCCUAAGCCAUGCGAGUCAUAUGUUCUUCGUGAACAUGGCGUACUGCUCAGUAACACGUGGAUAACCUGCCCUUGGGACCGGCAUAACCCCGGGAAACUGGGGAUAAUUCCGGAUACCGCAUAUAUGCUGGAAUGCUUUAUGCGUGAAAUGGAUUCGUCUGCCCAAGGAUGGGUCUGCGGCCUAUCAGGUAGUAGUGGGUGUAAUGUACCUACUAGCCAACGACGGGUACGGGUUGUGAGAGCAAGAGCCCGGAGAUGGAUUCUGAGACAUGAAUCCAGGCCCUACGGGGCGCAGCAGGCGCGAAAACUUUACAAUGCGGGAAACCGUGAUAAGGGGACACCGAGUGCCAGCAUCAUAUGCUGGCUGUCCAGGUGUGUAAACUACACCUGUUAGCAAGGGCCGGGCAAGACCGGUGCCAGCCGCCGCGGUAACACCGGCGGCCCGAGUGGUGAUCGUGUUUAUUGGGUCUAAAGGGUCCGUAGCCGGUUUGGUCAGUCCUCCGGGAAAUCUGACGGCUUAACCGUUAGGCUUUCGGGGGAUACUGCCAGGCUUGGAACCGGGAGAGGUAAGAGGUACUACAGGGGUAGGAGUGAAAUCUUGUAAUCCCUGUGGGACCACCUGUGGCGAAGGCGUCUUACCAGAACGGGUUCGACGGUGAGGGACGAAAGCUGGGGGCACGAACCGGAUUAGAUACCCGGGUAGUCCCAGCCGUAAACGAUGCUCGCUAGGUGUCAGGCAUGGCGCGACCGUGUCUGGUGCCGCAGGGAAGCCGUGAAGCGAGCCACCUGGGAAGUACGGCCGCAAGGCUGAAACUUAAAGGAAUUGGCGGGGGAGCACAACAACGGGUGGAGCCUGCGGUUUAAUUGGACUCAACGCCGGACAACUCACCGGGGGCGACAGCAAUAUGUAGGCCAAGCUGAAGACUUUGCCUGAAUCGCUGAGAGGAGGUGCAUGGCCGUCGCCAGUUCGUACUGUGAAGCAUCCUGUUAAGUCAGGCAACGAGCGAGACCCA
rnacentral:rRNA from 1 species